UGAGUACGAGAUGCUACGGCGUCGAAGCAGUCUAUGUCAUACUUCCAAGAAAAGCUUGCACUGUCAUAAACAAAGAAUGCCUGUACCAUAACCGACACAGGUGGGUAGGUAGAGUAUACUAAGGGGCGCGAGAUAACUCUCUCCAAGGAACUCGGCAAAAUGACUCCGUAACUUCGGGAGAAGGAGUGCCUUAUUUUUAAGGUUGCAAUAACAAGAUCCAAGCAACUGUUUACCAAAAACACAGGUCUCCGCUAAGUCGUAAGACGAUGUAUGGGGGCUGACGCCUGCCCAGUGCCAGAAGGUUAAAGAAGUUGGUUAGCAUUCGCGAAGCUGAUAACUGAAGCCCAGGUGAACGGCGGCCGUAACAAUAACGGUCCUAAGGUAGCGAAAUUCCUUGUCGGGUAAGUUCCGACCCGCACGAAAGGCGUAAUGAUUUGGUUACUGUCUCGGAGAGGGGCUCGGUGAAAUAGACUUGUCUGUGAAGAUGCGGACUACCUGCACCUGGACAGAAAGACCCUAUGAAGCUUUACUGUAACUUGAGAUUGAAAUUGGACUUUAUUUGCGCAGUAUAGGUGGGAGGCGUUGAGAAUAAUCUUGCGGGAUUAUGGGAGCCAUCAGUGAGAUACCACUCUUGUAAUGUUAGAUUUCUAACUUUGUAUCAUUAUCUGGUCAAAGAACAGUUUCAGGCGGGCAGUUUGACUGGGGCGGUCACCUCCCAAAGGGUAACGGAGGCGCACAAAGGUUUCCUCUGAACGGGUAGAAGUCGUAUCUAGAGUGUAAAGGCAAAAGGAAGCUUGACUGUGAGACCUACAAGUCGAGCAGGGACGAAAGUCGGUCUUAGUGAUCUGACGGUGCUGAGUGGAAAGGCCGUCACUCAACGGAUAAAAGUUACUCUAGGAUAACAGGCUGAUCUCCCCCAAGAGUUCACAUCGACGGGGAGGUUUGGCACCUCGAUGUCGGCUCAUCGCAUCCUGGGGCGGUAGUACGUCCCAAGGGUUGGGCUGUUCGCCCAUGAAAGCGGUACGCGAGCUGGGUUCAGAACGUCGUGAGACAGUUCGGUCCAUAUCCGGUGUAGGCGUUAGAAUAUUGAAAGGAGCCUUCUCUAGUACGAGAGGACCGAGAAGGACAUACCUCUGGUGUACCAGUUAUCGUGCCAACGGUAAACGCUGGGUAGCUAUGUAUGGAGUGGAUAACCGCUGAAAGCAUCUAAGUGGGAAGCCCACCUUAAGAUAAGUAUUCUC
rnacentral:rRNA from 1 species